GUUUAUAUUUAAUAUAGUAGUAUUUAAUGUAGUAUAAGCGCUCAUCUAAUCGGAAAAGUUAACAGAAGUUUUUCUGCACAGUAGCAGAAAUAUUAGGGAGCGAGGUAAAGAUGGAAGAUUCGAUCCGGCCUGCCUGAACCCUCGCGCCGUAAUCCAGCGCGUCUUUCCGGCCUUCUAUCGACAACUUUAACAUUAAUUAUCUCAAAAACUAUAAGUCGUCUGCCCCCGAAACCGGAUAUCAUUGGAUUCAGUUUUACAAGCUCUAUCGCUAAGACGUUAAAGUACCUAGUUGAAGGUUUCCGGUGCAACGCUGUUCCGGUAUACAGUAAAUUCUCGCCAAUUGUUAUUCGGCUUGUGAACAAAAAUGGCAAUUUGGAAAGAGGAAAUAUGACUAUCGUUUAGUAUUUUAAGUAAAUUCUCAAAAGAGCUUCUACUAUUCGCACAUUUAUCGAUCUCCCGUUACCCACGAGUUGCAUCGUCGAACGAAAUAAGUGCUUGAUCGACACACCAUCCACGGUAUUGCACAGAACGGUAUAGCUUGCGGAUCGUUCGCGUAUGUACAUCUGAUCAUUGCCGGCCCCCUAAUACUCGAUGUGCUGGUACCGAUGAACGAGCCCCG